rnacentral:rRNA from 1 species
UGCGUAGGCGGAUUGGCAAGUCAGAAGUGAAAUCCAUGGGCUUAACCCAUGAACUGCUUUUGAAACUGUUAGUCUUGAGUGAAGUAGAGGUAGGCGGAAUUCCCGGUGUAGCGGUGAAAUGCGUAGAGAUCGGGAGGAACACCAGUUGCGAAGGCGGCCUACUGGGCUUUAACUGACGCUGAGGCACGAAAGUGUGGGUAGCAAACA